rnacentral:lncRNA from 1 species
GCAUGUGGAGGUUCCCAGGCUAGGGUGUAAUCAGAGCUAUAGCUCGGCCUACACCACAGCCACAGCAACUUGGGAUCUGAGCCUUGUCUGCAGCCUAUACCACAGCUCAUGGUAACUCGGGAUCCUUAACCUACUGGGCAAGGCCAGGGAUGGAACCUGCAACCUCAUGGUUCCUAGUUGGAUUCGUUUCUGCUGUGCCACAAUGGGAACUCCUAAUUUUUAUUUAAAAAAAUUUUUUGGUCCACAUGAUGUUCCAAUGAGGGUAUUUGGGGUCAGCAUGAUUACCUGGUGACAUGGUUACACAGGGACUCAGGGAUCCGUCCAUCUUGUGGUUCCACCAUCUCCCAAGGCCUUGGCACUAAAGGGGAGAGAAAGUGGUGAACACACGCCUGCUUCUGAGCUAUCUCGACCCCACAGUGCUACUAGGACCCAAACCCUUUUCUAAACUUCAUGAGUCAGAGCUUACCUCCCACUGCAAAGCAAAAAAAUCCAGACUUGCCUUCUCAGACGUCCUUGAGUCAAAAGCAUGGACACACGACCUAGGCUCUGUCAUUCAGAGUUUUCUCCUCAGAUUUUGAUUUGGAAGUUAAUGAUUUGAAGAAGCGGAAGCCAAGCAGUCUGCACUCAGGUGAGAGAGGCAGUGGCCAGGGUUCAGAGGCCAUGGUGGCAACCGUUGUAGCCGCAGCAUCCACUCUUCGGUGUUAGGGAGAUGAGUGACCCAAGAUGCUAUGCCUGUGUCCUCUGGUGGCAGUUCUGUGGCUUAACUUUUGACCCUGUUCUCUGCUGUGUUGCCUUGUUGUCCUUUCAGAGGUUCCAUGAGCCAUUUAGUACCUUUUUUUUUUUUUUUUUUUUUGGCUUUUUGCUAUUUCGUGGGCCACUCACACGGCAUAUGGAGGUUCCCAGGCUAGGGGUCUAAUCGGAGCUGUAGCCGCCAGCCUACGCCAGAGUCACAGCAACUCGGGACCCGAGCCGUGUCUGCAACCUACACCACAGCUCAUGAUUCUUAAUCCAUUGAGCAAGGGCAGGGACCGAACCCGCAACCUCAUGGUUCCUAGUCGGAUUCGUUAACCACUGCGCCAUGAUGGGAACUCCCAUUUAGUACCUUUUUAAGUGAAGUUUGUUUUCUAUUUCAGUGUGCCAGCGGUGUUUUCUGUUGCUUGCAACUGGACACCGGGUCUCAUACCGGUGAAUGUAAAUGUGCAGAUAACAGCGGGGUGCACAGCGGGAGGGCUUGGGACAUCUGGGUCAGGGAUAUCAAUGGAGGGGUGUGACCAUGGGAGGAGAUAGGAUCACCCAGGGAGUCCAUGGCCUGGCAUUGGAAGAGGGCCUGGCCUGGAGCCUUGACAAAUAAGCAGAUGAGAAGGGGCUCCCAAGGGAGAUGAGCAGGAACCAAGUGUUCAGCUUGUUCCUAACCCACAGAGGCCCUGCUGGAGUUUGCUGUUUGGGAAAUCAACUCCUAGUCCAACAAAAUAAAUGACUUGUUUUUUCAGGCCAUGUUCUUUUUUAGGUGAUUUUCUGCUGUAUCUUUAAUGACCAGAGUUUUGUCUUAAGGCCAUCCCAGAAGACGUCCGCUGUUGUGAAGGUAAUUAUAACACCCACAUAUCUAGAGCAGUCAUGUCAAAUAUGUGCCAUCUGUGGCAUGCUCCUUACCAGUGCCCUCCCAAUGCCAGCAACCUCCAGUAAUCACCGCAGGCAUUUCUACCAGUCACUUCCUACCAGCUUCCCAAGGAACCCAGAUACAGCCUCAGAACCCUUCUUAACCCAGUUCUCCACGCAGUGCCAGUAAAUUCAUGUGAGUUGGCUCAUGAGAUGAAGCCUGCUGGCUAGCUCGGGCCAAUUGUUUUUCAGUUUACACAGUGCUUUUAUAUAUAUCAUCUUAUUUGCUUUUCUCAGCAGCUUGAUGAAUUAGUGGUACCAGGCCUGUUUUAUAGAUGAGAAAAUUGCUGUCUCAAGAAGUUAAAUGCCUUGCCCCAAAUCAUACAUAUAAACCAUCAGAGAGUCCAGAUUUGAACUCAGAGUUUUUGAUGACAUCCUGAGAAUACCGACAAAGUGUUCCUCACCUGUGUUUCUGACAGGUUACAGUGAUUGUUAAAAAUGCAUUUCAGGGGACAGAAAAAGUCAAGAUCUGUUACUAAGCCUCUUGAGCUGGCCAGGCAGAUAAUAAUGGCUCUUCUAGCUGGACAUGUGAUCAUGUUCUAGGUGAGCAGCUGCGAUCUUUAGCUGGAGUUUGGGCAAAUGUUUAGUUCUAAAUUCUAAAAAGCCAUGUAUGUGCCAACAGAGGGUAGGGAACAGUAACCUAUAAAUGUCCAGGAAGGUGGGCCUUCGGCAUCUGGAAAGUUGGAUCAUGGGGAAUAGAGCCAUAGCCACUGAGAUUUAGGGACAGAAAUUUGUCCAAUAAUUCACUAUUUUCUUUUCUUUUCCUUUCUUUUUUAGGGCUGUGCCUGCGGCAUAUAGAAAUUCCCAGGCUAGGGAUCAAAUUGGAGCUGUAGCUGCCUAUCUAUGCCAUAGCCACAGCAGUGCCGGAUCCUUAACCCACUAAGCGAGGCCAGGGAUUGAACCUGUGUCCUCAUGGAUACCAGUCAGGUUCUUUACCACUGACCACAACAGGAACUCCAAUAAUUCACAGUUUUAAAAAAGUAAACAUGGUCAAUUCUUUAAAAACAUAUACUAGGCCCAUUGAAAGGUACCAAACAUGUGUGGUGGACACAUGGCUUAAUACACACACAUACCCCCCAAUCUAAACGAGAGGUCGGAGCUAAAAAUGGCAUUUGCCAAACUCUAUUGUUCCUAGAGUGCAAGACAUGAAUUAUUUUCUACCAACCAGCUGGACUCGCCUGUGAUGCUGAAUUACGUAGGGAGAAAAAUGUGAGGAGAUUGUGAUGGAGGCUGUAUGGAUCUGGUAGCAGCUGGUGGCUUCUUGAUUCAGGAAGCAGCUUCUAGGAGAUGUCUGGGGUGGCAGUUUCCUGCUUCUGAAGCUUCUUGCUCAUGCACAAGCAGUGGGUCCCCUGGCUGCACAGUUCUAUGUUGUGGGUUUGGGAGUCCUUCCUGGAGCCUCAUUCUGGUAUGUGUUUCUUUAGUGCCCCCAAAGAUUCUGUUAUCUGUCUUUAACCCUUAAUAAAUACCUUUCUGUUC